rnacentral:misc_RNA from 1 species
AACGCACAUUGCGCCCUUUGGUAUUCCACUGGGCAUGCCUGUUCGAGCGUCAUGUACACCCUCAAGCUCCGCUUGGUGUUGGGCGUUUGUCCGCGCCUCUGGCAUGGACUCGCCCUAAAUAUAUUGGCAGCAACGCCUCUAGCUCCUUGCGCAGCACAUGCAGUAUGAGCAGCUAGCAGUGGGUUUGCUUCCACAAGAACCGAUAUUUUGACCUCGAAUCAGGUAGGGAUACCCGCUGAACUUAA